GCCCGGAUGGCGGAAUAGGCAGACGCGAUGGUCUCAAAAACCAUUGCCCGUAAGGGUGUGCGGGUUCGAGUCCCGCUCCGGGCA
rnacentral:tRNA from 1 species